AUUGAACGCUGGCGGCAGGCUUAACACAUGCAAGUCGAGCGAGCGGCGGACGGGUGAGUAAUGUCUGGGAAACUGCCUGAUGGAGGGGGAUAAAUACUGGAAACGGUAGCUAAUACCGCAUACCAUCAGAUGUGCCCAGCUGGGAUUAGCUAGUAGGUGGGGUAAUGGCUCACCUAGGCGACGAUCCCUAGCUGGUCUGAGAGGAUGACCCGCCACACUGGAACUGAGAAACGGGCCUGACUCCUACGGGAGGCAGCAGUGGGGAAUAUUGUCCAAUGGGCGCAAGCCUGAUACAGCCAUGCCGCGUGUGUGAAGAAGGCCGUCGGGUUGUAAAGCACUGUCAGCGAGGAGGCGUUACCCGCAGAAGAAGCACCGGCUAACUCCGUGCCAGCCGCCGCGGUAAUUC
rnacentral:rRNA from 1 species